CAGGAACUCAUAGCCUUUGCUGUAGUGCUC
rnacentral:piRNA from 2 species